UCGCAGGUGGUGUAAUGGUACCACACUCUCCUUUCAAGCUGUUUUGAGAUCACGAGAGAAACCGGGGUUCGAGUCCUCGCCUGCGGC